rnacentral:rRNA from 1 species
UUGAAAGGGAAACGAUUGAAGUCAGUCGUGCUGGCGCGAAUCAACCCCUUCAUCGGGAGACCCAUGUUGUGGCGAGCCUCAAACCGCCACAGCAUGUGUCUCACGAUGAGGGGGAGCACUUUCGUGUCCGCUGGUUAACAUCAAUUUCGAACGUCAUAAAAAGGCUGGGGGGAUGUGGCUCCUUCGGGAGUGUUAUAACCUUUAGCGGAAUGUGGUGUUCGGGAUUGAGGAUUGCAACGAAUACCUUUAGGGCUGUUCCACCUGGCUUCCCUUUGGUAUCCUGGUGACGACAGCUUGCUGACGUUGUUAGGAUUCGCCUUUGAACAGGCUAGAGUGUGAGCAAAUUCGUUAAGGAUGUUGACGUA